UCAGGAACUGAAGUUUUUUCGCAGAGCAGAAGGAGGGAGCCUCUAGCGUUCGGCAGCCAGAGAGAGCAGCGCGACCGGAGGGGGAUGGGGGGAAGGAAACCGACCCAGGCCGCAGGACCCCUGAAAGGUGGGAACCCCGUGAAGGGGAGAAAUGAGUGACAAAUCGCUUUCAACGUUUUCCCCCUAGGUUUUUCUUCCUGCCUUCCAGCUCUGCUCCAGACCCUUCGGGAGGGGAUGCGGGGCGCGCGGAGCCCCCCCAGCUCCUGGCAGACCCCAGCUGGGCAGGGACACAUCGUGCUGCCCACCCGGUGCCACCCGCCAGCCCCUGCAGCUCUGCCCUCCUGCACCAGCGACGCCACCUUCAUAAAAUGAGUGAGAAUAAGCUUUUUGAGUCCACUCUUGGAAGGGCAAAAGGGACAGGAGCUGGACACUGCCCUUUGAACCUUUGUAUCUGUGGGACACAGCAACAUGGAAACCUCCUCAUGACAUUGCAAGAAAUUAAAAAUGAGAGAAGCUCCUCCUCAUUCACAAUGACCAGUCAUCAUGAUCCAGGCCAAAGGGCAUCACUUCUGUCAAAAAAUAAAAAGUCAGUAAAAGAAGUUCCUGUUUUCA